CCUGCCAGGGCCCGGGCUCUCGAUGACUGUUUCCUGAAUGAAGAGUCAUUUUCCUUGAAAGACAAGAGAGCCCGCUUCUGCGAUGACCACCAACCGGGCCCUCGUCUGGGAGGAGUGUGAGGCAGUGGGUGGCACCAGCGAUGUAGGGGUACAGAUGUCCUUCGGUCCUGAAUUCGAAUCCCACCUCUAGCUUCAGAAAGCCACGGUCUCUCUGAGCUGGAUCCUUCCUGUCAGGCUGCGAGGACAGCAGCAAGAACAGCCAUGUCACGGGACGCAGCAGGGUGACACGCUGUGUGUCAGGACGACCGGGACAGUGCCAGUGGCCGUGAAAGGAGCCGCCGGCCACCUCGGCACACGUGGGCAGCUCACCCGGGACCAGGAAGGGAGCCCACUCUCUGGCGUGGAAGAGGAGAACGAUACCUCAUGCAAGGUCACCUAGAAAGCCGCAGCAAGGCGGGACUCCACGGCUGAGCUAUUCUAUUCCACUACCCAGGAAAGUCUCUCCACAGCCACUCUUGGCUUGAAACCCUUGUUUCUAGGCCUCCGGGAGGCCUGAGAAAUCGCAGGAAAAGCUUAAAAGCUUCCCUUUGGUCAGAC
rnacentral:lncRNA from 12 species